rnacentral:rRNA from 1 species
UACAGAGGUCCCAAGCGUUGUUCGGAUUUACUGGGCGUAAAGGGUGCGUAGGCGGUCAAAAAAGUCUGAUGUGAAAUCUUGAAGCUUAACUUCGAAACUGCAUUGGAUACUGAUUGACUAGAGGAGUGGAAGGGAGAUUGGAAUUCUCGGUGUAGCAGUGAAAUGCGUAGAUAUCGAGAGGAACACCAGUGGCGAAGGCGAAUCUCUGGACACUAACUGACGCUGAGGCACGAAAGCCAAGGGAGCAAACGGG